rnacentral:rRNA from 1 species
UAGGGAAUCUUCGGCAAUGGGGGCAACCCUGACCGAGCAACGCCGCGUGAGUGAAGAAGGUUUUCGGAUCGUAAAGCUCUGUUGUAAGAGAAGAACGUGUGUGAGAGUGGAAAGUUCACACAGUGACGGUAACUUACCAGAAAGGGACGGCUAACUACGUGUCAG